UUUUCUUUUAGCCCCAAAUGCUAAUGUGCUGAAACACCAUUUUAAUUUUGCAAAUUAGAAGUCAAAAUCAUAUUCGAAUCUUAAUUUCAACGUAUGACAAUAUAUACUAUUUCCUCGACAAGGAAAAAAAUUUUCCAAAUUAACUUUCUUUUAUUCCUUUCGUACUAAAAAGAAAUUUAUUUACUAAUAGAUUUAAACCAACCUGGCUCACGCCGGUUUGAACUCAAAUCACGUAGAGAUUAUUUAAUUGGACGAACAGUCCAUAAUUAGUGCAUUCUUCUGCAGUGGAAAAACAAUUUUAAAUUAUUUCCCCUCCUAAUUUUCUCUGGUUCAACAUCGAGGUCAUACUCUUUUCCAAAAAUGAGAUCUUUAUGGAAAAUAUUAUGCUGUUAUCCCUCCAGUAUCUAUAUUUUAAAAAAUGUUAUUUCACCUUAGAUUUUAUUAAAAAGGUUAUAUUUCCCUUUGUUGCCCCAACGAAAUUAAUUUUUUAUUAUUUAAUUAGAUUGAAGGGUCUUAUCGUCUAAUGGAAUAUUAUGGGAGAUUUUACCUCAUUUCUAAUUUUAAUUUUAAUAAAUUUAUUUUAAGAAAACUUAUCCCGCGUUUGACCCAUUCAGACAAUCCGCUAAUUAGACGGCUAGUAAUUAUGCUACUUUUACGAUUAUUACCGGCUUUUUUUAUGGAAACUAAGUAAGUAAUAAUGAUUUCCCGAUAAUUUGAGCAGGGCAUACUUCUAACACUUGAAGAGAUGUUUUUGUUAAACAGCCGGGAACAAAAUAGAAUUUUUUGUAUCUAGUUCUUUAAAAUAAGAUUUAUAUCUAAAGAUUAUUAAUUUAUAUAAGGGGGCUAAUUGAAUUAAUUUUUUUUAUUAUGAUUAUCUCUAAUAAAGAAAAUAAUAUAUAUUUAUGAAUUAAUUAUUUUUAAAAAUAGUUACCCUCUGAGGUAAUUUAUUUAUAUUGUUUAUUUUAUAAAUAUUGCCUUUUUUCCCUAAUCAGUUUUUUAGGUCCGAUUUUCUUUUUUAGUGCUAAUAUUCGUUAAUUCUCGAUUUUAUGAGAAAAAAUAUCAAAAAAAUUUUAUUAGAUCACCUAAAUUCGGUUCCUUUAGUCGUAAUACAAAAAGAUUUGUUUCUGAAAAAUUUUCCAAUUUUCUAUAGUAUGUGUAAAAUACUUUUUUUGCAUUGGUGUUUUUGAUUUACAAUCAUAAUUCAUUUAACAGAUGAAUUUAUUUUCAAUAAAUUUGAUUUGAAGUCAAAAUUGAUUAGUCUCCAAAACUAAGAAUUCAUAGCUUUUUACAAGAAAGCAUAAUA
rnacentral:rRNA from 1 species